UUACUAAACAAAAAUGCACUCCGCUGGGCGUUGGCUAAUGAGAAUUAUAGCAUCAUAAUUGGGACCAUGUUUCGGCGGUUCAGAAAACAAGAGUGUCUCGAAUCAACUGACCAUACAACAAUACACUUCAAACCGUUCCAUCACAACACCCAUUAUUUUGAACCAAUUCAAAAGGCUUUGGUGGCGCGGAACGAUCGUCAGUUUGCCGUUAGAUAUCUUGACGACCAAAGGCGUAGAUAGAGUCUGUAACUUUUGCAAAUCUGAAUUUUAUGAUGGAAUACAUGUACUGUUAUUGAUGCAACUUACAUGUGUCAAUAUUUGUAAAACAUUUUGUUCUACUGGGACAUAUC